AAAGUAUCGCGCGCCAACAAUAUGAGAGGAGGAGGAGGAGGCCUGGGAGAGGCAUCAGGCACCUGAAGCAACUCUAUGAUGAACGUAUCUACUUUGAUAACCUGCGAGGAGGAAGAGGCCUAGGAAAGGCAUCCUGCACCAGCGGAACAACCUGAUGACAACGUAGCAUCAAUAACAACUC